GCCCUGUUUCUCGGAGGACUGGCUGCCACGAUGGCCCCCACGCUGCAACAGGCGUACCGCAGGCGCUGGUGGAUGGCCUGCACCGCGGUGCUGGAGAACCUCUUCUUCUCUGCCGUGCUCCUGGGCUGGGGCUCUCUGCUGAUCAUGCUCAAGAACGAGGGCUUCUACUCCAGCAUAUGCCCAGCGGAGAACACCACCAACACCACCCAGGGCGAGCCGCACCGGUGGCUGAGCUGUGACUGGCAGGACGAGAUGCUCAACCUGGGCUUCACCAUCGGCUCCUUCGUGCUCAGCGCCACCACCCUGCCGCUGGGGGUCCUCAUGGACUGCUUCGGGCCCAGGCCUGUGCGGCUGAUCGGCAGUGCCUGCUUCGCUGCGUCCUGCACCCUCAUGGCCCUGGCUUCUCGGGACGUUGAAGUUCUGUCCCCGUUGAUAUUCCUGGCGCUGUCCCUGAAUGGCUUUGGUGGCAUCUGCUUAACAUUCACGUCACUCACGCUGCCCAACAUGUUUGGGAACCUGCGCUCCACCUUCAUGGCCCUCAUGAUCGGCUCCUACGCUUCUUCUGCCAUCACGUUCCCAGGGAUCAAGCUGAUCUACGAUGCCGGUGUGUCCUUCGUGGUCAUCAUGUUUACCUGGUCUGGCCUCGCCUGCCUUAUCUUCCUCAACUGUGCCCUCAACUGGCCCAUCGAAGCCUUUCCUGCCCCCGAGGAGGUCAAUUACACGAAGAAGAUCAAACUCAGUGGGCUGGCCCUGGACCACAAAGUGACAGGCGACCGCUUCUACGUCCACGUGACCACGGUCGGCCAGCGGCUGAGCCAGAAGGCCCCCAGCCUGGAGGAGGGGACUGACAUCUUCAUCUCAUCCCAGGAUGUGCGAGGCACCUCGGAAAACCCUUCCGAGAAGUCUGUCCCAUUAAGGAAGAGCCUCUGCUCCCCCAUUUUCCUGUGGAGCCUUCUCACCAUGGGCAUGACCCAGCUGCGGGUCAUCUUCUACAUGGCUGCCAUGAACAAGAUGCUGGAGUACCUUGUGACGGACGGCCAGGAGCAUGAGACGAAUGAAAUGAAGCAAAAUGUGGAAGAGACAGUUGGGUUCUACCUCGCCAUCUUUGGGGUCAUGCAGCUGUUGUGCCUUCUCACCUCUCCCCUCAUCGGCUACAUCAUGGACUGGCGGAUCAAGGACUGCGUGGACGACCCGACCGAGGGCACUGCCCUUGGAGACGCCAGGGAUGGGCUUGCCGCCAAGUCCACGAAACCACGCUACCGCAAAAUCCAAAAGCUCACCAAUGCCAUCAACGCCUUCACCCUGACCAACCUUCUGCUCGUGGGUUUCGGCAUCACCUGCCUCAUCCACAGCCUCCACCUCCAGUAUGUGACCUUUGUCCUGCACACCAUGAUUCGAGGUUUCUUCCAUUCUGCCUGCGGGAGCCUCUACGCCGCAGUGUUCCCGUCCAAACACUUUGGGACGCUGACAGGUCUGCAGUCCUUCAUCAGCGCUGUGUUCGCCCUGCUCCAGCAGCCGCUCUUCAUGGCCAUGGUGGGACCUCUGAAAGGAGAUGCCUUCUGGGUGAACCUGGGCCUCCUGCUGUUCUCACUCCUGGAAUUCCUGCUUUUUCCCUCUUCUACUACCGAGCCAGACUCCAAAGAGAGUAUGCUGCCGGCUGGGCGGGCCCAGUGAAAGUGCUCAGUGGCCCCGAGGGGACUGCAUAGACUUCUGUGGCCAGGGGACCUGGAUGAGCAACCAAAGGGAGUGCCCGUGUGGCCUUUCUACCUGUGACACACACAGAGCUGGGGCCCUGGGUGUAUAAAUACCAAGAGGAGUUCUAUUUUUGUAAGGACUUGCAAAAUGGGUAAAAAAAAAAAAAACGCUUAAAAAAAUUCUCCCAAAGCAAUGCUCCACUGACUGAGGACAGCCCUGUGCUAGAGGGACUGGGCCUUCUUCCUCUUUGGAUUGGAGGAGACCAGGGUGUAGGCUGCCCUUUCUCCAGGUCUUCAUCCUAGGGGGCUCCUGGUGCCUGUUGGGGGCCGGUGGGAUCAGUGAACAGGCUACUCCUAAGGUUCCAGCUGCCAAGAAUGUAUGUGUGUGUGCGUGCGUGUGUGUGUGUGUAUGUGUGUGUGUGUGUAUGUCACAACCUUCCUCUUAGAAGGAAAGGGGCCUCAGGUGCUGGCUGUGUCCUGGAUAGGGUGUGGGGAGUAAGCCUCUUCCGGGGCUGGAGGGCAGGUUCCCUCCCUGGUGCUGCUUCUUGCAGGUCUUAGAGGAAAUAAAAAGUGAGAGACUG